rnacentral:lncRNA from 10 species
AGGCUGUAAGGCAGGGUGUGAUCGGCUUUUACUGGAGAACAGGAAAUAGCAGGAAACGUCACCUACAAGGGCACAUUAAUCACAUUAGCUUGGCAAACUAUCAUCUGGGAUUCAAAGUCACAUGUGUGAGCACAGCAUUUCUAGGCAGCCCGUUUCCACAGCCCUGCUGCCCAUGCCUUUUGUUUUAGAAGACCGGUCUCUGCAGCUCACUGCUGCUGGAAGGAAAACUCACAUGAUCACAUUUUGUGUACACAUGCAUCCACAUGCAUAGUGAAACCAGGGCUGAGAGCUUCCAGAUUGAUGAACACGUCUACGUGCUGGGGGUGGUGCAUCUCAGCUCCAUGGAGACAGAAGUGCCUGUGCUUGGGACCCUUUCAGACCUUGCCCUCUGCAUCUCUUUAUCUGGCUGUGUGUGUGUAUCCUUUGUAAUAUUCUUUGUAAUAAAGUGGUAGGUGAAUAUAAG